rnacentral:rRNA from 1 species
CCGCUGGCGGCAUGCCUUACACAUGCAAGUCGAACGGCAGCACGGGUGCUUGCACCUGGUGGCGAGUGGCGAACGGGUGAGUAAUACAUCGGAACAUGUCCUGUAGUGGGGGAUAGCCCGGCGAAAGCCGGAUUAAUACCGCAUACGAUCUACGGAUGAAAGCGGGGGACCUUCGGGCCUCGCGCUAUAGGGUUGGCCGAUGGCUGAUUAGCUAGUUGGUGGGGUAAAGGCCCACCAAGGCGACGAUCAGUAGCUGGUCUGAGAGGACGACCAGCCACACUGGGACUGAGACACGGCCCAGACUCCUACGGGAGGCAGCAGUGGGGAAUUUUGGACAAUGGGCGAAAGCCUGAUCCAGCAAUGCCGCGUGUGUGAAGAAGGCCUUCGGGUUGUAAAGCACUUUUGUCCGGAAAGAAAUCCUGAGGGCUAAUAUCCUUCGGGGAUGACGGUACCGGAAGAAUAAGCACCGGCUAACUACGUGCCAGCAGCCGCGGUAAUACGUAGGGUGCGAGCGUUAAUCGGAAUUACUGGGCGUAAAGCGUGCGCAGGCGGUUUGUUAAGACCGAUGUGAAAUCCCCGGGCUCAACCUGGGAACUGCAUUGGUGACUGGCAAGCUAGAGUAUGGCAGAGGGGGGUAGAAUUCCACGUGUAGCAGUGAAAUGCGUAGAGAUGUGGAGGAAUACCGAUGGCGAAGGCAGCCC